CAUACGGCUACCGUCUACAUGUUAGUCGAGCGAACAGAAGGGAGCUUGCUCCCGGAUGUUAGCGGCGGACGGGUGAGUAACACGUGGGUAACCUGCCUGUAAGACUGGGAUAACUCCGGGAAACCGGAGCUAAUACCGGAUAGUUCCUUGAACCGCAUGGUUCAAGGAUGAAAGACGGUUUCGGCUGUCACUUACAGAUGGACCCGCGGCGCAUUAGCUAGUUGGUGGGGUAAUGGCUCACCAAGGCGACGAUGCGUAGCCGACCUGAGAGGGUGAUCGGCCACACUGGGACUGAGACACGGCCCAGACUCCUACGGGAGGCAGCAGUAGGGAAUCUUCCGCAAUGGACGAAAGUCUGACGGAGCAACGCCGCGUGAGUGAUGAAGGUUUUCGGAUCGUAAAGCUCUGUUGUUAGGGAAGAACAAGUGCGAGAGUAACUGCUCGCACCUUGACGGUACCUAACCAGAAAGCCACGGCUAACUACGUGCCAGCAGCCGCGGUAAUACGUAGGUGGCAAGCGUUGUCCGGAAUUAUUGGGCGUAAAGGGCUCGCAGGCGGUUUCUUAAGUCUGAUGUGAAAGCCCCCGGCUCAACCGGGGAGGGUCAUUGGAAACUGGGAAACUUGAGUGCAGAAGAGGAGAGUGGAAUUCCACGUGUAGCG
rnacentral:rRNA from 1 species